rnacentral:snoRNA from 1 species
CCUUUUAAAAGUACUCAGUGGGCCUUUUGCUAGUGACCCAUUGAGCUGUCAAGAAGGUACAGAGUGAAAACACCGCUUUUGGGUGAAGUAGCAACUUGUGUUGUUUUACUCCAAUCAGUGUUGUGACAAGA